CUCCCAUAAGCGAUGUUGAAUCAAACAAUCAUACAAAUACAGCGGGCCUGUAUAUUUUCAAAUGUUAACUGGGUUUAGUGUGUAUUAUUUGGAUACAUGUGGGCUGGUACUUACACCUUUAUUGUUCCUCAUUUCAAUAGCUUCCAUUGAGGAAAAUAAAUAUAUGAAAAUGAUAUGAAAAUAAACCAAAACAGUAUGUCAAUUCACCUUCCUCACUACUCUCACACCGAACACACCCACAGUUCCAUUAACCUGCCUUUUUCUUUUAUAUUUUCUAUUUGGAUUGCAACCAUGAGUAUUUGGUUAGUUGCUGUUAGAAAGUGGCAAAGCCAAAUAUUGGUUUGAAUUGGAUGAGUUUCAAGCUGCCACAAAUCAGUAAGUUUACACACUGGUCUAAAACGACAGAUUUUUCUUUAAAGAACCAGUGUGUAAACUUUCUUCUGAACACUUCACGUUACGUUUUUCAGGCAAAACAUGUCUACUAGCUGCCAUACAUUCUCUUUCUUUUAAUGCUGUAAUUCCUCGUGUGCAGGGUGCGAGUCGAUCCUGCCAUAAAAGGAAGAACUCGAGGUUGAAAUCGAGUCAUGAUUAAUGACCGACGUUCACCUUUACCUUGGAUCCACCUGACAGAGCUGCUAUUGUGGCUAGGCCUCGCCAGGCUGCAUGGACCGGUAGCUCGAGCUCCCAGGAGAUUGCGGAAACCGAUUGGACUAGCAACGUAUGCCAGACGUCUGUACUCACCGCCGCUCCCUUCUUUAGGCAGAGAGCCGAAGAAGAGUCAUCAGAUGAUGAUAAGGAACGUGUGAUAAAGGGAUGAUAUGACGUCAUCAGCAGCCAUCACAGUAUGAAAGGGACAGGACAGCUGAAGGUACACAGGAUGAGAUGGGUUCACAACCUGUAGUCCAGGGCUUCAGAGUGUUUCUGAGAAGGUCAUGACCCCCAGAGUGUAACCUGGACAAACAUCUCUGACGGAGUCUUCUGGCUGCAGAGGGAAAUGGAAUGUUCCUUUUUGUUUUAGUUUUUUUAUGUCCUGAUAUGUUUUCUCAGAGUAGAACCUAACUAACCCUAACUAACCCUAACCCUAACUCAAUGUUAGGGUUAGGGUUACUUGUCAUUUAGAGGAUUAUAUAAAUGGAAUUUACCCUAUAAGCUGUUAGAAAUAUACUGCCUGGUUCAUUUUGGUGUACUGCAAUAUGUACAACAAUGUAAUGAAAGAUCUCCAUACAUUAAUGAGGAACUGUAGGGGAAUCUGUUAUAACAAUUUUGCUGUUUAAUCAUUUUUCAUUCUCCCUCCUAAAUCAUGGCUAUAAAUAGACUCAAAUAAAGGAUUACUGACUUAAAUACAAACUACUGAACAAAAAUAUAAAUGCAACAUGCAUUCAUUUCUAAGAUUUUACUGAGUUACAGUUCAGAUAAGGAUAUCAGUUAAUUGAAAUAAACAAAUUAGGCACUAAUCUAUAGAUUUCAGUAGUAGUACUGGCAGUAGGAAUGCAGAUAUGCAUCUGUUGGUCACAGAUACCUUAAAGAAAAGGUAGGGGCAUGGAUCAGAAAACCAGUCAGUAUCUGGUGUGACCACCAUUUGCCUCAUGCAGCACAACACAUCUCC